AAGAGGAGAAAAAACUAGAUGUAGAGACACACAGAGAAAAGAUGGCCAUGCAAAGACAGAGGCAGAAAUUGGAGUGAUGUAGCUACAAGGCAAAGGAUGCCAAUGAUUGCCAGCAACCACUAGAAGCUGGGAAGAGACAGGGGAGGAUCCUUCUCCAGAGCCUUCAGAAGGAACAUAGCCCUGAAGAUUCCGUGGUUUUGCACUUCUAGUCUUCAUAACUUUUCAGGGAAUAUGUUUGGAGAUAGAAGAACCAGUCUUAUGCCUAGGCAAGAAGAAUUCCAUGACCACCAAACUGAGCCCAUCUCCCACGAAGAGCUGGAGAGAUUUGAGAAGCCACACCCAGCAUCAUCCUCAGCCUGAUAUUACCAGCUGUUCCUUGAAAACACAGACAUUGGAAGACGUAUGAGACUACGGAACCUAAUUUUCUCAAGGUCAACAAAUAGAGUUGGAAAAUAACAAAGGAACAAAGAAAUGCUGACAGAAAAUGAAUUUCAUACUCCAGUAGUGUUACCAAACUACAUUUACCCAUCAUGGUAGCCUAAGCCAGGAAGUGGAGAAAAGAGAAGGAUGUCAUUAAGUGGAAAAUAAUCAGGGCAUUUUGAGAGUGGUGUCUUUGGCCGUCGAGACAAGUCAGUCAUUCUGAGGCAUGGAUGGACAGAGAGCAAGCACUGGCAAGAACGAGAAGAGAUGAAUAGAUCAGGCUCUCUCUGGGUAUAAAACUCUGAGCAGUUCACUUCAACUCAUUGGAUCUUGGUAGGCCUCAGACCCACUAAUUACUGUAGUUUCUUAAGGCCUCAAGGUUCGUUUUCUAAAGAAGAACUCCUGCCACAUUCACUUAUAGCUAUCUUCUAAAAAUACCCAAAUCUGGCUGCGCAGUGGCUCAUGCCUGUAAUCCCAGCACUUUGGAAGGGUGAGGUGGGAGGAUUGCUUUAGACCAGCAUGGGUAACACAGCAAGACCCCACCUCUACAAAAAAUAAAUAAAGAAAUAAAAAUUAGCUGGGUG